CCUACGGGUGGCAGCAGUGGGGGAUAUUGCACAAUGGGGGGAACCCUGAUGCAGCGACGCCGCGUGGGUGAAGAAGCGCCUCGGCGCGUAAAGCCCUGUCAGCAGGGAAGAAAAUGACGGUACCUGAAGAAGAAGCCCCGGCUAACUCCGUGCCAGCAGCCGCGGUAAUACGUAGGGGGCAAGCGUUAUCUGGAGUUGCGGGGGGUAACGGGGGCGCAGACGGCGAUGCAAGCCAGGAGUGAAAGCACGGGGCCCAACCCCGGGACUGCUUUUGGAACUGGGUGGCUGGAGUGCGUGAGGGGCUAGCGGAAUUCCUGGUGUAGGGGUGAAAUGCGUAGAUAUCAGGAGGAACACCGGUGGCGAAGGCGGCCAUCUGGAACGUAACUGACGUUGAGGAGCGAAAGCGUGGGGAGCAAACAGGAUUAGAUACCCGGGUAGUC
rnacentral:rRNA from 1 species